AUUCUGACUCAGGGGUGACUCAGCUCUUCCAUGACCUGUGUUCCCACUUCUCCUUGAUAAGGCCAAUGUUUUGGCCCUACUGGUGAAAAUAUGUAGACCUAACAUCUAUCUCCCUGCUCCAGUUUCAAGAGAAAAGACCUUAUUCAGAGAAAUAUUUAGAAGACUCUUGUGGAAUUCUUGCUGUGAGUGGUUUUUCCUUCCCUGCCAUUGGUGCGACUGUUUCCCCCUUCCGUCAAAUUGCUGUCUAGAUGUUUCUCUCUGACCCCAAUUUUCUCGGAGUUUGGGAUUAUCAAUCUAAAAUCAGAGGUGAGAAUUCAUCAGUGUUAUCGAUAAGACUUUGCAAUUAUUUCUUUCAAACUGAACUUUUUCCCUAUUCACUUAUUUUUCCUCAUUGCAAAAUAAUCAAAGCAUUGAUGAGUGUUUCUGUUUAAAUUCAAAGGACAUUCCACCUUUAACCUUAGCAUUCAUGAGACACAAAAUGGGUUUUUCUUUUUGCUGAUUUAAAAAGCUGCUAUGAAGCUGCACAGUGCGGAAGAGGGCACCCCUGCUCCAGAAAAGAAGAAACAAAACUGCCUGCCAUAGACACUUGGUAGGGAGUGGCAAAUGGAAUCUUGGUUUGUUUUUCUCUUAGGACUUUGACAAUUAUUUUUCCUUGAAAAGAAUAAGAGAAUCUACCUAAAAUAUUAAUACUAGUUUCAGAGCUCUAGGAUAAUAUAGAGCAGAGUCUCUUUUUUUUAAAAAAGGAAAGCGGUUUCAUUUCUGACAGUGGAUUUCUUCCACUGAUGUGCACACUCUUUGACAUGAAAAGCUGCACGAAGCUGCCUUGAAUUCAUUCUGCAGAUGGAAAGUUGCAAGUACGGUAAUUAGCUAAGCAGUGGCAAGGCCGACCAUCUGAGGUUUGAUUUCUCAUCAAGAGAUAGUGUCCGACACACGUGCCACUGAGCAUGCUUGUAAGAGUUCCACGUUUCAGAUGCACUGAGAAUGCAUGCAUGGAACACACGUCCCCCCAGCCCAACAACCGCACUCCCAAAUUGCCCCUGCACACAUAUAUUCUAACACGGUUACAACACAGCAUGCUCCCGAGCCUCAGACAAUAAGCUGCCCAAAAAGAUGCUCAAGCAACAGUCGCAGUGGGCCUGACUUCUGGUAUCCGCAGCCACUCCAGAGAACUUCCUGUGAGCCCCAGGGACUCAGAGGAGGCUGAGUGAUGAGGAAGGUGGCCAGAGGCUGCCGGACUAGCCCCAAGCAGUCACUCUGCUUCCUGCCUUUGUUUUCCCUCAAACUCUCAUCUUUCUGGAGAAAACAAAACCCUGUCCUGGGGGUGUAGACCAGCCAUGACACCCACUAAUAACCUCUAGCAAAACAAUAGUUUUAAAAUUACUUAAUGCUCUCUUGACUUUCUGACUUUUAAAAUGAAAAUUGUAUUUUGUCACUGUAUCCUUUUGUUGGCAAGUGGAAUACUGCACUCAAACCAAGCAGGCAAUGUAAAACUAUGACUUCAAAGCCAUUCCUUGAUAAAACAUCAAAACGGCCCAGAGUGAACCAACUGUUAUCUGUAAUUCAACAGAUAAUUAACUGAAACUCAGUGCUCAAAUUGCUACUGGGAGUUUCUGCAGCCAAGGUCAUUCUCAUGGUGCUGCUUGAUUUUGUUUCUGUGUCUCUUAUAUCGUUUUAGGCAGGGAGGAACUUGGAUUGUCCUUCAGUAAAAUUCCACUUUGAUGCGCAAAGCGAACUUGAAUUUCUGCUUGGCCUACCACAGGCCUGCAACAUGCACUUUCUCCUCGAGGGAACUGCCACUCACUGACACGGACAACAGUAAAGGAACUUGGUCUUCACUAUGCCUCAUAGUGGUGGGUCACACUGCCCAGGAGGAACCCGCAAUGAGACCGGCAAAUGCCUUAACCAUCUCAUUGUCUCAUCAGGAAGAAGCUUAAAUGACUCUUCUUGCUCACAUACUUCCUGGGCAAACAUGUCUGCUCUGUUGGGAUAAAGGACGCUCUAGACCAGGCUCUGCUGAAAGAUCCAGGGCAAAGGUUCCUGACAAGACUAUGUCCAGCCUCAAAUAAGGCCACAGAAGAGCCCAGGCUCGCUGACGAGCACCGGCUCCGAGGCAGUCACAUCAGGAGACAGAAACAGACAUGUUGGUGCUGCCCUCUCAGGUCAGUGCAAAUGCCACUUGAGGAGGGCUGAGAGCUUUGCAGCAUAAAAUGACCAGAACAAGGAGAAACACAGAUGCAAUGGCAAUAGCUGGCAAUUCGCACAUGGCGUCAAACACCACUGCCACAGAAGCUUUUUAGCUACAAGCCACGCUAUGCAACCUUUAAGCAAAACAUUAUUGAUUUUGUGGUUGUAAAAACAUACCUUCAACUGCAGAACUCAGUUUUAUGACACCUUGAAUAAAAACAAAAAGUGGCAGUUAUAUAAUGGACCCAAAUCGCCUUUUCCAGGCUUCUCAUAACACACGCAUGCUUCAGAUUUGGAUUUUUCUUUUUCUGCUGGCAUUGCAAGAACGUAACUAAACAAAUAUCAACUUCAAAAAUAAAAUAAUUUUUAGUCUUAACUAGGUCUCAUGGAUGUCUUCUUUUCCCCCACUAAA
rnacentral:lncRNA from 1 species